rnacentral:lncRNA from 1 species
GUUCAUACUAAAUAAAUAAGCAUAUUCCUAAAAUAUUAAAGGUUUAUUCGUCUAGAUGAGUGAGUUAUUAAUUUUUUUACUCUCAAUUCUCGGGAAGACGCCAUCUUGAAAACUAAUGACCACAGAUAUCUAAUUACCACAAAGUCCUAGUACCCAGCAUGACAUGUCCGUUAAUCAGUGUUAAAAUGACUUGUCAAGCUGAUGAAUGUUCUACCCGAC